GGUUGUAUCUCAGCGGUAGAGCGCUGGCCUAGCAAGUGUGAGGCCCUGGGUUCUAUCCUCAGAACCA
rnacentral:tRNA from 1 species